GUGGAAGCAGCCCACGUGUCUGUCCACAGGUGAACGAAUAAACAAAGGUGGCACAGAGCCACGAUCGAGUAUCAUUCAGCCUUAAACAUGAAGGAAAUUCGGCCUGGCGCGGGGGCUCACGCCUGUCAUCCCAGCACUUUGGGAGGCCGAGGCGGGCGGGCCACGAGGUCAGGAGUUCGAGACCAGCCUGGCCAACAUGGUGAAACCCUGUCUCUACUAAAAAUACAAAAAUUAGCCAGGCG
rnacentral:lncRNA from 1 species